rnacentral:rRNA from 1 species
GACGAACGCUGGCGGCGUGCCUAAUACAUGCAAGUAGAACGCUGAAGGAGGAGCUUGCUUCUCUGGAUGAGUUGCGAACGGGUGAGUAACGCGUAGGUAACCUGCCUGGUAGCGGGGGAUAACUAUUGGAAACGAUAGCUAAUACCGCAUAAGAGUAGAUGUUGCAUGACAUUUGCUUAAAAGGUGCAAUUGCAUCACUACCAGAUGGACCUGCGUUGUAUUAGCUAGUUGGUGGGGUAACGGCUUACCAAGGCGACGAUACAUAGCCGACCUGAGAGGGUGAUCGGCCACACUGGGACUGAGACACGGCCCAGACUCCUACGGGAGGCAGCAGUAGGGAAUCUUCGGCAAUGGACGGAAGUCUGACCGAGCAACGCCGCGUGAGUGAAGAAGGUUUUCGGAUCGUAAAGCUCUGGUGUAAGAGAAGAACGAGUGUGAGAGUGGAAAGUUCACACUGUGACGGUAUCUUACCAGAAAGGGACGGCUAACUACGUG